UUAAUGAGCUUAUAUUUCAUUUGUGCUAAUUCAGUGGUGCUCAAUAAGAUAAACUUCUGUUGCUUAUACUAGUUAAAAUAGAAACAGCCAUAAAAUAUGCUUCUUAUUCUCCUUUAACCAAGCUUCUCUUUUAUGAUUUGUCUAGUUGUCUGGGCUUUUGCUGUUGCAACUGGAAGAGGCAAAGAAUAAUGAUUAUUAAAAAGUAGGUAUGUGCAAUAUUGAGAUCAUCCGGUGGUUCUUCAUUGCAAUCCAACAGGCAAAGGAGUAAGAAAGAAUCCUGGAAUCUUAAUUCUGGUUCUCAAGGACACGGGAAUGAUAGAAUUGGAAUAUUCCAUAAUUACUCAUUUGCUUUACCCCACAUUGCAAAUGCCACUGUCACAGAAGAACAAUACUAAUACUACCACCACCAAUUAUAGUCACAGAAACAGGCUGGAGUGUCAUGGUGCAAUCUCGGCUCACUGCAAUUUCUGCCUCCUGGGUUCAAACAAUUCUCAUGCCACAGCCUCACAAGUAGCUGGGAUUACAGGCGUGCACCACUACACCUGGCCAAUUUUUUGUAUUUUUAGUAGAGAUGGGGUUUCACCAUGUUGGCCACGCUGGUCUUGUUCGAACUACUGACCUCAAGUGAUCUGCACACCUCAGCCUCCCAAAGUGCUGGGAUUACAGGUGUGAGCCACUGCAUGUAGCCAACGGUACACCUUAAAAUGGUUAAGAUGAUAAAUGUUACGUUAUAUGUAUUUUACCACAUUUUUUAAAAAUCAAGUAUUUGGGGGCAUGGAGAGAGGAGGGUCUAAUGCCAGACAGAGGUGGGACCAAUUAGUGACUGAUUUCACACAAACUAUAGCACAUGCUGUCAGAACCUUGCCCAUAGCCCUUUGGCCAGUUACCAUUUUUCCUUGUCAAUCUGAAUUCCAACUGCCAGCACCAGCACCUCUUUGCCUGACAGAUUGCAAUGAAGCUGCUGGAACCUGCUUUUCCUGAGCAUGUAGCAGACCAGGCAUGUCAGGGCAUUAAACUCUCUAGGGAAGUCAAUGGCUGAUGGGAACUGGUGUACGAAUAUUCCAGUUCCCUCACUACUUAAAUGGAGUGGAUAACUGUGAAGCAUGUGUUUUAUACAGUGUCCCAAGUUCCAUAGCAGAAUUAUGCUCUUAUUUCCAUUAGAACUUGCUUAAUGAUGCACCUUUAUUGGCUUUUUCCUUUCCUUUUUUGUGAUGGCUAAUUUUUGUAUCAACUUGGCUAGGCCACUGUACCCAGAUAUUUGGUCAAACAUUAUUCUUGAUGUUGGUAUGAAAGUAUCAUUUAGAUGAGAUUGGCAUUUGAAUUAGCAGACUUUGGGCAAAGCAGAUUACCUUCCUGAAUGUGGGUGGGCCUCAUCCAAUCAGUUGAAGGCCUUAAUAGAAAAAGACUCUUCUGCCCUGAAGAAGAGGAAAUUAUGCCAGCAGGCUGCCUUCAUACUUGAAAUGCAAUGUUAAUUCUUCCCUGGGCCUCCAGCAUGCCAGCCUAUCCUGUAGAGUUUAGACUUGCGCCUCCACAAUUGUGUGAGGCAAAUCCUUAAAAUAAACCUCUCUCUCUCUCUCUAUAUAUAUAUAUAUAUAUAAUAUAAAAAAUUUGUGCGUAUAUGUGUAUAUAUUAUACAUAUAUACAUAUAUAUGCAUAUUUUCUGCUGCUUUGGAGAAUGCUAAUACAUUUUCCUAUUCCUGUGCCACUGUUCUCAGAAUACUUUUCCAUUUAAUCUAUAUUUGCCCUUGAAUCCUUGACUUAGAGCAGUGGUUCUCCCUCCACAGCACAUUUGGCAAUGUCAGGAGACAUUUUUGGUUGUUAUAGGAGUGGGUCUAGUGGGAAGAGGCCAGGAUGCUGCUCAACACCCUAUAAUGUACAGGACAGCAGCCUCUUACAUGAAAGACUCACCCAGCUGAUAUGGUUUGGCUGUGUCCCCACCCAAAUCUCAUCUUGAAUUGUACUCCCAUAAUUCCCACGUGUUGUGGGAGGGACCCGGUGGGAGAUAAUUGAAUCAUGGGGGCGGUUUCCCCAUACUGUUCUUGUGGUAGUGAAUAAGAUCUGAUGGUUUUGUCAGGAGUUUCUGCUUUUGGGUCUUCCUCAUUCUCUAUUUACCUGAUGCAAUGUAAGAUGGGACUUGCUCCUCCUUGCCUUCCACCAUGAUUGUGAGGUGUCCCCAGCCAUGUAAAACUGCAAGUUGAAUU
rnacentral:lncRNA from 1 species